CAUCUCACGCUGCACGUCCUCCCCUCCACCCUCCUGAAUCUCCCAGGAAUCGUCACACUAUCCGAGGAUGCUGGGAAGAAGUAGGGGCAGACAUUUCCCUUAGGAGAAAGCCCUGAAUCCCGUCCGAAUCUAGGGGUCACGGCCCCUGGGUCAUCGGCUUUGAUAAGUAAUUCCUGGAAACCUGCUGCAAUGCCCUUUGAGGAGUCUGGUUCUCUGUUUCCUGAAGGGCACUAGCGUUACAAGGGCCCUGAAUGGGGUCACGGAUAGGGGCAAUGACCGGCCUCACGCCUAACCUGCUUUCUGGAUCUUCUCGUGUUUUUCUGAGGCUUGGAACCAGGCACGAGAUUCCAAGUAACUCGAUUCAAAAUGUUGUAGUCAGAGGACUGGCAGAGCAAGACGAAAGUUUGUGACCCCAACCAUGUGCAGCAGAAGGAAGUGUUGAAAAGACUGCACAGAUAAAUUAUUUAACAUUCCCCCAAAUUGCUGAAAAAGUGGAUCCUUAGGGAGGACGUGCCAAGUUUAUCUGGCAGCCGAGACCUCCGAUCACACUGCUGGCCUGUCCUGGAAGCAGACGAAAACUGCUGACUACAAGCAUGUGGACCCCAGACCUAUUGAAACCAGAUGGUUGAUGAUGCUCUAAACUUCACCUUGACGCCAGUGAAUUGGAGACCUGAGCACAGGCUCCUGCAUCCCCUCCCUCACAUGACCUUUAAAACCCCUUCCCUGAAAGUCCUCGGGGAGCUGGCAUUCUUUCAUACCUUCUCCCUCGUGCACCAGCUCUCCUUCCAAUAGAAAGCUUUGCUCGCCUAGGAGUCUUGUGGGAGCGACACUCAUUUCUAUGGUCUUGCUGUCCCAGAAUCUGGAGAGGGCCCGAGAACAGUGGUAGAGCAGUAUAUUGGUUUGCUGAGGCUGCCACAGAUUGAGAGCUUAAACAACAGAAUUUUAUUUCCUCACAGUUCUGGAGGCUGGAAGAACAAGAUCAGGUGUUAGCAGGGUUGGUUCCUUCUGUAGCCUCUCUCCUUGGCUUAGAGACCAAGGUACCUCCUGGUAACAAGUGUCAGAAUUGAGUUACGCUGGGACUUCCCUGGCGGUCCAGUGGUUAAGACACCACGCUUCCACUGCAGAGGGCGUGGGGUCAAUCCCUGGCCAAAAAAAAAAAAAUUGAGUUGCGUUGUUAGGACACACCCAGCUGAUGUUCCUUGGUGGUAUGGGAAACCCUCCCCAAAACACGUUGGAAUUGUGUCCAGAACCUUAUAUAACAUGUCAUCUAAGAAUGGUGAUUGUAAUUUGUAAAAAGUGUUGCCGAGGUCACAUAGCUAGUAACUGGUUAGGGUAAAAACCAUGAUUGGCUCUUCCAACUCCAUUCCAUAUUCUAUUUGGAAAAACUGAAGUGCUAAAGCCCACAUUUCCCAGGUUAUGUUGCAUCCAGGGUUUUGGAAAUUGAGUUCUACCAGUCAGACUAUGACAGGUGGAAGGGAAACAGGCACCAUCUUUCUCCUGCUGGUCACAUAGUAGAAAAGUUUUCGGCAGCUAGGUUCCAAGUGUAGGUCUGUCACAAGUUGCAUGAGUACCGGAGCCGGUCAGGGUGGUGGCGGCAGCAGCUUCCUAAAUUCUGGCUUGGAGCUCUGGGGGUGUGCCCUUGACAUCAGCAGCCCAGUGAUAGCCCUCUAGCCUCUGUUCCUCCACUCCUUACAAAGUUUUUUUUUUUCUAAACCAAGGUUUUUAUUGGAAUCAUUGUAGAUUAAAAUGUAUUUGUAAGAAAUAAUGCAGUGACAUGCCAUGCACCCUUUACCCAAUUUCCCCCAUGGUCACAUGCUCAAAAACUACCGUGCAACAUCACAAGCAGGAUAUUGACAUUGAUACAAUUUGCUUCUAUUAUGCAGAUUUCCCCAGUUUUACCUGUACUCAUUUGUACAUACGUGUGUUUAGCUUUAUGCCAUUUUAUCACAUGUAUAGGUUCGUUUAUCUACCACCAAGAUCAAAAUACAGAAUAUCUGGCAACACAAGGAUGCCUCCUGCUGCCCUUUUACAGCCCCAUCUCUCAUCCCUGGAAACCACUAAUCUGCCCUUUACUACUCAAGUUUUGUCACUUCAAAAAGUAUUAUAAAUGGACUCAUACAGCUUGCAGUCUUUGGGAACUGGCUUUUUUCACUGAGCCUAAGUUUCCUGGGGGUCCAUCCCAGUCGUGUGUAUCAGCAGCCCAUCCCUUUUUAUUGUUGAGUAGCAAUCCAUGGUGUGGAUGCCCCAGGUUUGUGCAGCCAUUCACCCAUUGAAGGGUAUUUGGGCUGCUUCUAGUCUGGGGCUGCUACAGAUAGAGCUGCUAUGAACAUUCAUGUACAGGUUUUUCUGUGACUCUAGUUUUCACUUAGCUCAAGAGUGUAAUUGCUUGGCCAUAUAGUAAUUGCAUGUUUAGUUGGGGUUUUUUGUUUGUUUGUUUUGUUUUAAACUUCCAAAUUGUUUUCUUGCAAAGAGUUUGUUAACAGAAUAU